AGGGUGUUCUGAGAAAAGGAAGGAAAUAAGUGAGGGAAGCCACCAAGACACACAGACACCUCUGAAGGAGUUCCAGCUGCUGUGGCUGUG